UGACCUCUUAUGCGCCAGGACAACUGGCCUGAGCCACCGUGGCUCCCCUUUAUUUUAGUUUAACCCAAACUUUUCCCUGCAAUCCCACCUUCUCUCAAUGUAUCUAAUCAGAUACUUCCACUGCAUCUCAGUGACUAGAUGGUCUUUCCUUUUUAGUUUUUUGUUUUCAUUUUGGUUUUGGUUUUUGGGUUUCUUUCACUCUGUCGCCCAGGCUGGAGUGCAGUGGUGCGAUCUCCACUCACCGCAGCCUUGACCUUCUGGGCUCAAGCAAUCUUCCCACCUCAGUCUCCCAAGUACUUGGGACUAAAGGGCAAACACCACCAUACCCUGCUAAUUUUGUAUUUUUGGUAGAGAUGGGGUUUCACCACGUUGGCCAAGAUGGUCUCGAUUUCCUGACCUCAAGAUUCACCCACCUGGGCCUCCCAAAGUACUGGGAUUACAGGCAUGAGCAACUACACCCUCUAAUUUUUGUAUUUUUUAUAGAGAUGAUCUCGCUACUUUGCCCGGGCUAGGGUCAGUUGACUUUCUAAGCUGCUCCCAUAAGCUUUGUGGUUUUCUUACCCAUAUUCUUCCUGCUGCACCUAAUACCAGAUUGAUCUGAAUAUAAACAUAGAGAAUAAACAGAAUGUGGAAGGGAGUGAUUAAUUUACCAGAAGCACCUCGCACAAAUUAAAAAGGAUGGUACCAUAUAUGAAAAAAUAAAAUCUGAAGCAUCUUAAAGAUCAUUUAGGCCAGGCAUGGUAGCUCACACCUGUAAUCCUAGCACUUUGGGAAGCCGAGGCAGGCGGAUUGCUUGAGGCCAGUUCAAGACCAGCCUGGUCAAUAUGGCAAAGCCCCAUCUUUACUAAAAAUAAAAAAUAAAUCACUUGUUUCUGCUCUUACAAAAACAAACAACAGAACUAUGCUGACCCAUAUAUUGGAUAUCUGGGCCUAGUUCUAUUGGAUGCUGACCCAUAUAUUGGAUAUUUGGAAGUUGUGUGGAGUGCUUUGUUUCAGCAAAGAUUUAUUGUUUUUGGUCAGGGGGUGGAGUUUAACAUAAAGGAUUAUAAAUAGGGCUACUUUGCAGUUUUUUGAGAGUCUGGAUCACUUAGCACUCUACGGAAAGCUAAAUUAGGUUACUUUAGUAAGAAUAAUUAGGGGAAGGCAUAGCAAGGUGGCUCAUGCCUGUAAUCCCAACACUUUGGGAGGCUGAGAUAGGCGAACCAUUUGAGGUCAGGAGUUCAAUACCAGCCUGGCUAACACGGUGAAACCUGUCUCUACUAACAAUACAAAAAUUCGCCAGGCCUGGUGGCGGGUACCUGUGUGUGGUCCCAGCUUCUUGGGAGGCUGAGGUGGGAAAAUCACUUGAACCCAGGAGGCAGAGGUUGCAGUGAGUGGAGAUUGCACCUCUGUACUUCAGCCUGGGCAAUGGAGGGAGACUCUGUCUCAAAAAAAAAAGAAUAGUCAGAGGAAGGUGUUAUUAUCUCUCUAAUCACUUGUGUUUCAGAAAGAUCUGAAUCUGGGUGUCCGCUUUUUUUUUUAAUGGGAUUUCAAAUGACAUUGGCUGCAGAAGAGGGUUGGCUCCAGUACGUAAAGCCACCAGAAGAGGAUGGGCUUCUGCGUAUAAAGCUAUUGCUCUUGGCAGCUGUCUCUGAAGGAGGAAGACGAGAGACGCCAGGGAGAGGAAGGGGUGUUGUGCCUGGGGUUUUCAUAGUGGUGGGCAGCAGGAAGGAGAAGAAGUUGGAUCUGAAGGCAGGAAACCAGCAUGGUUCUAGAAAGAAAGAAACGCUGGGCACAGAAAAAAACAGCCAUGGAUUGUUAUAAAACUUCACCAAGCAAUUCCUGGAUUUACCCCACUGUGAUCCUCUGCAUGUUUGGAUUUUUCUCCAUGAUGAGACCCUCAGAACCAUUUCUUAUCCCAUAUUUAUCUGGACCAGAUAAAAACCUGACCAGUGCAGAGCUGACAAAUGAGAUCUUCCCCGUUUGGACAUACUCCUACCUGGUGCUGCUGCUGCCUGUGUUUGUCCUCACCGAUUAUGUCCGCUACAAGCCAGUCAUCAUCUGCCAAGGCAUUAGCUUCAUCAUUACCUGGCUGCUGCUCUUGUUUGGCCAAGGAGUGAAGACCAUGCAGGUUGUAGAGUUCUUCUACGGAAUGGUCACUGCUGCCGAGGUGGCCUACUAUGCCUACAUAUACAGUGCGGUCAGCCCUGAGCACUAUCAGAGAGUGAGUGGCUACUGCAGGAGCAUCACGCUGGUCGCCUACACAGCAGGGUCCGUGCUGGCCCAACUCUUGGUAUCCCUGGCGAACCUGUCGUACUUUUACCUCAACGUCAUAUCCUUGGCUUCUGUCUCCGUAGCCUUCAUUUGCUCACUUUUCCUACCAAUGCCCAAGAAGAGCAUGUUUUUUCAUGCAAAACCUAGCAAAGAAAGAAAGAAGUCAUCAAGCGUGAGUGCAGUAUUAGAGGAAACUCAUGAAGGUGAAGCACAGGGCUGUGAAGAGCAGAAACCCACAUCAGAAAUGCCCAGCACCUCAGGGAAGCGGAAUGACUGCCAGCCAAACAGCCUGAAACCAGGCAAUGUGACUUUGGAAGUUUUUGUGCAGUGGUUCCAAGAUUUGAAGGAGUGCUACUCCUCAAAACGUCUUUUGUAUUGGUCUCUGUGGUGGGCGUUCGCUACAGCAGGUUUUAACCAGGUUGUGAACUAUGUUCAAAUCCUGUGGGAUUACAAGGCACCAUCCCAACUUUCUUCCAUUUAUAAUGGGGCAGUAGAAGCUAUUGCAACCUUUGGAGGGGCUGUGGCUGCCUUUGCAGUGGGUUUUGUGAAAGUCAACUGGGACCUUCUGGGAGAGCUGGCUCUGGCGGUCUUCUCAGUUGUCAAUGCCGCUUCUCUAUUGCUCAUGCAUUACACAGCCAACAUCUGGGCAUGCUACGCUGGCUAUUUGAUAUUCAAGUCAAGCUAUAUGCUUCUUAUAACCAUAGCAGCAAUCUCACUGUGCUGCCCAGGCUGGAGUGAUGGAGUGAACUAUUGUGAUCUCUACUCAUUACAACCUCUGCCUCCUGUGCUCAAGUGAUCCUCCUGCCUCAGACUCCUGAGAAGCUGAGACCACAGUGUGUACCAUGACAGCUGGCCAUUUUUUUGUAUUUUUGAUAGAGAUGGGGUUUCACCAUGUUGCCCAGGCUGGUCUAGAACUCCAGAGCACAAGUGAUUCAUCUGCCUCAGCCUUGCAGAAUGCUGGAAUUACACACAUGGGCCACCACACCCAGCCUCUCUCCUUUUUUAUGUAGGCACUUGUAGCUGUAAACUUCCUUCUUAGUACUGUUUUCACUGUGUCCUGUAGGUUUUGGCAUGUUGUGUUUCCAUUAUCAUUUGUUUCAAGAAAUUUUUCAGUUUCUCUCAAUUUCUUCACUGACUCACUGGUCAUUCGGGGCAUAUUGUUUAGUUUCCAUAUGUUUUUACAGUUUCCAAAAUUCCUCUUGUUGUUGAUUUCUAGUUUUAUUCUAUUGUGGCCAGAGACAAUCUUUAAUAUUAAUUAUUUCCAGUUUUUGAAUGUGUUUUAAGAGUUGUUUUGUGAUCUAACAUGUCUGUUUAGUUUGUUUGGUGAGAACAUGUUUUCCCGGAUGAGCUUGAUGCUAUGGAUGUUCAUCAGUGUCAGAGCAUUGAAGAGUUGUGUUUAUCAUAGUCUUUGCUGUCUGGGCUUUUUUGUACCUGUCCUCGUUGGGAAGGCUUUCCAGGUAUUCAGAAGGAUUUGGGUGUUCUGAUCUACACCAAAUCUACAUUAGGGAGCACCCCAAGCCAAGUAACACUGUGGUUCUAGAAGACUCUUAGAGGUACUGCUUUGGUGGUCUUGGAUAAGAUCCAGAAGAAUUCUCUGGAUUACCAGACAGAGACACUUGUUCUUUUCCCAUACUUUCUCCCAGACAAUCUCUCACUCUAUCUUUGCUGGACUACCUGGAGCUGGAGAUUUCAGAUUGCAGUUAAUCUGAGUGUGGAACGCUAUGCCCUGGUAUUUGGAAUCAAUACCUUUAUUGCCUUGGUGAUUCAGACCAUCAUGACUGUGAUUGUAGUAGAUCAGAGAGGGCUCAACUUGCCAAUCAG